GAAUAGUUAGCUCAGUUGGUAGAGCGCUACGCAAGUAGAGGUAGACAGUUCGAAUCUGUUACUAUUUU
rnacentral:tRNA from 2 species